UCGCAUCCGCCAAUCGGUCCAGCCGUGUCGCGGAAGGUUGUUUAACCAGUUCAAAGUUUCCUGCAGGGAAACGGAGGUCAGCG
rnacentral:ncRNA from 1 species